rnacentral:sRNA from 1 species
GCCAGGUGUGGUGGUGCACAUCUGUAAUCCCAGCACUCAGGAGGCUGAGACAGGAGGAUCCCAAGUUCAAAGCCAGCCUCAGCAACUUAUCAAGGCUCUAAGCAUCUCAGUGAGAUCCUGUCUCUA